rnacentral:rRNA from 1 species
NACAACGGAUCUCUUGGUUCCAGCAUCGAU